GAUAGAAGAACCAUUCUAUCAUCAGGGUAAUGAUCCAUCAACCCGUUAGUUCUUUUUAUGAGGCCUGUGAGGACUGCUUUCAAUCAAAAGGAGAUAAGCGACUUGCCUUCCUCAGGAUUAGCCAUAUUGGAUGAAUGCCCGGGAGUGUGAAGGGGGACAUAGCGAGUAGUUUCAGUGGAAGUGGAAGCAGCAGCAAAACCUAAACUCAAAAGAAAAAUUGAUC
rnacentral:lncRNA from 1 species